rnacentral:lncRNA from 1 species
AUAAAUCUCAGGAAAAGUGGGGACAGCUCCCUGGACCGGGGCUCCACUCUCUCUGGGAAUUUUGCCAGAGCCCGCCAUAGCAAAAACCGGAAGUUGGUAUGGUCGAGUCUUUCCUGACAGUUGGUCUGCAGCACUAACUGCUCCUGAUACAGAGCCCCGGCGCCUCCUUCCUGGGUCUGCUCCCAGCUUCUGUCUCCAGCGGGCUUCUCCUCUUCUAUGUCCCUCUGCAGUUCUUUCUCUGCAGAGAAAAAGUCAUCAUAGCAUUGAGAAUCACCCAAAAUUAAACAGAAGAAUCACCGUAACAAACAGCACCUGAAGUCAUUCCAGAUGUUCAUUUGACUAAAAAUUAAAUUCCACUCUAAGAAACACCUGCUCAAACAUGCUAGGCAAGUGCCUCACCUGGGAAAAGUCUUCAAAACUAUACUUUAAAAAAGUUUGUUCAGGAUUGGGAUUCCUACUUGUUUCACAUAAUGGAAACCUGACAUACGCAAACCAAGAAAAUAAUGAGGAAGAAGGCUAAGACUCAACUUUCAAAGUGGUUUUGUUAGGAAACAUAGUGCUUUACUCUUGGCUUAU